CGGAUGGGUUUGACCGGUCCGCCGUUACGGUGUGCACUGGUCGUACCUAUCUUGCUGUCGGGGACGCGCUUCUGGCCUUAAUUGGCUGGGACGCGGAGUCGGCGAUGUUACUUUGAAAAAAUUAGAGUGUUCAAAGCAGGCCUAAGCUCUGAAUACAUUAGCAUGGAAUAACGCUAUAGGACUCUGGUCUUAUUGCGUUGGUCUUCGAGACCGGAGUAAUGAUUAAGAGGGACAGUUGGGGGCAUUCGUAUUUCAUUGUCAGAGGUGAAAUUCUUGGAUUUAUGAAAGACGAACUUCUGCGAAAGCAUUUGCCAAGGAUGUUUUCAUUAAUCAAGAACGAAAGUUGGGGGCUCGAAGACGAUCAGAUACCGUCCUAGUCUCAACCAUAAACGAUGCCGACUAGGGAUUGGCGGAUGUUAAUUCGAUGACUUCGCCAGCACCUUAUGAGAAAUCAAAGUUUUUGGGUUCCGGGGGGAGUAUGGUCG
rnacentral:rRNA from 1 species